rnacentral:tRNA from 2 species
UCCUCGGUAGCUCAGGGGCAGAGCAAGCGACUGUUAAUCGCUGGGUCGUAGGUUCAAAUCCUACCCGGGGAGCAA